rnacentral:lncRNA from 1 species
UGAAGCAGCUAUGAAUAUCCUCGCUGAUCUAUGGAUCUAUCAUUGUAAGAGUCGAUGAUAUAUGGUGAGAUGCCUCACACCAUCAUUUGGUCUUUAUAGCAUUUGAGUUGGCAAAUUUGUUGGAUUCAUGCGAUUAGGCAUGGUAAGUGCUCAGAGACCCAUAGCUCUAUAAUUGUCUGCUUCCAAAAGUUCAGAAUCUUUUCUGUGCUUGGUCCUCUCAUUGGUGAGAGUAGCCAUGUAAAUCAAUCUGCUAUGGGAAAUGGGAGUUUGCAAACUACCGGAGUCUAAUUGCUGAAGGACGAGGUUCCUAACUGAGGGUCAUGUGCAGAGCUGGAAGAAGAAGUUGCGAGGCUUGGAACUCUCCUUGUGAAGGGCUCAGGGACAGCAGUGAGGACAAUGCCUCUUUAGUUGUAAUUGUGAUACUCCUGAUGUGCAAGUAAUCACUCAUGUGAUACUCCUUAUGCUAAAAUGUUGGUUGUUAGUACAGAGGUGGUGACAUUAUUUGGUUCUCUGGUAUUGAUUUCAUGAUUUGUGGUUAAUACAUGAUGUAAUACAAUCCACAUUGCAUUAUAUUUCCAGUUACAUCUCCUACUUACUCACUAAUAACAUUCUUUCUAAUUCGGUUCUUGCGCCAUUGGCGCAACCGGGUCAUCUAGU